GGAGGCGUAUCCGGCCUGGUGACCGGCGCGGUCCUCAACACCGUCGAGGCCGAGCAACUCGACCUGGCGGGUUCGAUUCCCGUCCGCCUCCGCCA
rnacentral:tRNA from 1 species